GAUGAACGCUAGCGAUAGGCUUAACACAUGCAAGUCGAGGGGCAGCACGUAUUCAGCUUGCUGAAUAUGGUGGCGACCGGCGGAUGGGUGCGUAACGCGUAUGCAACUUACCUGUCAGAGGGGGAUAACCCGGAGAAAUUCGGACUAAUACCGCAUAUACUUGAGAUACUGCAUGGUGUUUCAAGGAAAUAUUUAUAGCUGACAGAUAGGCAUGCGUUCCAUUAGCUAGUAGGUGAGGUAAUGGCUCACCUAGGCUACGAUGGAUAGGGGAACUGAGAGGUUAAACCCCCACACUGGUACUGAGACACGGACCGGACUCCUACGGGAGGCAGCAGUGAGGAAUAUUGGUCAAUGGGCGAGAGCCUGAACCAGCCAAUUCGCGUGAAGGACGACUGCCCUAUGGGUUGUAAACUUCUUUAGUAGGGGAUUAAAGUUUGCCUUGCGAGGCAAUUUGCAAGUACCCUAAGAAUAAGUAUCGGCUAACUCCGUGCCAGCAGCCGCGGUAAUACGGAGGAUACCAGCGUUAUCCGGAUUUAUUGGGUUUAAAGGGUGCGUAGGUUGCUUUUUAACUUCAGUGGUGAAAAGCUGUGGCUCAACCAUAGUCUUGCCGUUGAAACUGAGGAGCUUGAGUGUAGAUGCUGUAGGCGGAACGCGUAGUGUAGCGGUGAAAUGCAUAGAUAUUACGCAGAACUCCGAUUGCGAAGGCAGCUUACAAAGUUACAACUGACACUGAAGCACGGGAGCGUGGGUAUCAAACAGGAUUAGAUACCCUGGUAGUCCACGCCGUAAACGAUGAUUACUAAGAGUAUGCGAUAUAAUGUAUGUUCUACAGCGAAAGCGUUAAGUAAUCCACCUGGGGAGUACGUCGGCAACGAUGAAACUCAAAGGAAUUGACGGGGGCCCGCACAAGCGGAGGAACAUGUGGUUUAAUUCGAUGAUACGCGAGGAACCUUACCCGGGAUUGAAAUGUGCAUGACGUAGACUGGAGACGGUUUAUACCCUUCGGGGCAUGUAUGUAGGUGCUGCAUGGUUGUCGUCAGCUCGUGCCGUGAGGUGUCGGCUUAAGUGCCAUAACGAGCGCAACCCACAUUGUCAGUUACUAACAGGUAGAGCUGAGGACUCUGGCGAGACUGCCGGCGUAAGCCGCGAGGAAGGUGUGGAUGACGUCAAAUCAGCACGGCCCUUACAUCCGGGGCGACACACGUGUUACAAUGGUGAGGACAAAGGGCAGCUACCUGGCGACAGGGUGCGAAUCUCCAAACCUCAUCUCAGUUCGGAUCGGAGUCUGCAACUCGACUCUGUGAAGCUGGAUUCGCUAGUAAUCGCGCAUCAGCCAUGGCGCGGUGAAUACGUUCCCGGGCCU
rnacentral:rRNA from 1 species